rnacentral:rRNA from 1 species
UACGUAGGGUGCAGGCGUUAAUCGGAAUUACUGGGCGUAAAGCGCACGUAGGCGGCUUUGUAAGUUAGAGGUGAAAGCCCAGGGCUUAACCCUGGAAUUGCCUUUAAGACUGCAUCGCUAGAAUCGUGGAGAGGUGAGUGGAAUUCCGAGUGUAGAGGUGAAAUUCGUAGAUAUUCGGAAGAACACCAGUGGCGAAGGCGGCUCACUGGACCGGUAUUGACGCUGAGGUGCGAAAGCGUGGGGAGCAAACAGG